UGAAUGACAGCUGUUUGAAUUUUUAUAAUUAUUCCCUAAAUCCAGUUUGAAUCUGCAGGAAUCUCCGGAGUCAAACAGAAGAGAACAGGCUGCUGGCUGGCAAGCUAUCACCUGCACGAGUGUCUGUGAGCAGGAGCAAGUGAAAUCAGCCCUUUGAGC
rnacentral:lncRNA from 1 species